rnacentral:rRNA from 1 species
ACAGGGAUUGCCCUAGUAACGGCGAGUGAAGCGGCAACAGCUCAAAUUUGAAAUCUGGCUCUUUUAGAGUCCGAGUUGUAAUUUGCAGAGGGCGCUUUGGCUUUGGCAGCGGUCCAAGUUCCUUGGAACAGGACGUCACAGAGGGUGAGAAUCCCGUACGUGGUCGCUGGCUAUUGCCGUGUAAAGCCCCUUCGACGAGUCGAGUUGUUUGGGAAUGCAGCUCUAAAUGGGAGGUACAUUUCUUCUAAAGCUAAAUAUUGGCCAGAGACCGAUAGCGCACAAGUAGAGUGAUCGAAAGAUGAAAAGCACUUUGGAAAGAGAGUCAAACAGCACGUGAAAUUGUUAAAAGGGAAGCGCUUGCAGCCAGACUUGCUUGCAGUUGCUCAUCCGGGCUUUUGCCCGGUGCACUCUUCUGUAGGCAGGCCAGCAUCAGUUUGGGCGGUAGGAUAAAGGUCUCUGUCACGUACCUCCUUUCGGGGAGGCCUUAUAGGGGAGGCGACAUACUACCAGCCUGGACUGAGGUCCGCGCAUCUGCUAGGAUGCUGGCGUAAUGGCUGUAAGCGGCCCGUCUUGAAACACGGACCAAGGAGUCUAACAUCUAUGCGAGUGUUUGGGUGUCAAGCCCGAACGCGUAAUGAAAGUGAACGGAGGUGGGAACCCGCAAGGGUGCACCAUCGACCGAUCCUGAUGUCUUCGGAAGGAUUUGAGUAAGAGCAUGGCUGUUGGGACCCGAAAGAUGGUGAACUAUGCUUGAAUAGGGUGAAGCCAGAGGAAACUCUGGUGGAGGCUCGCAGCGGUUCUGACGUGCAAAUCGAUCGUCAAAUUUGGGCAUAGGGGCGAAAGACUAAU